AACCUGCAACCUUGGUGUAUUGGGAUGAUUCUCUAACCAGCUGAGCUACCUGGCCAGGGUGAAUUCUGCAGCACUUUCAAGGCAAGUCAAUCCAGACACAUGUGACGAGGCAGUAGAAGAAAUCUCCAGUUUCAGGGCCUUUCCUGGGCAGCAGAUGCAUAAGCAGACCUUCUGCGUCUGCCUCAUCUUCCUGGCCAACCAAAAGAAAAAAUGGAUUAAUCAUGUGAAAUUUAGAAAAAUAAGUAUUCUUGAUGAACACUUAUGAGAAGAACUCCUUGAAAAUGACUUUGACAUCAGAAAAUGGCUUCAUUAGGGGGCAGCAGUCACGUUCCUUGGGUUCAGGACAGGGCUGGAGGUCCCAGCUGGAGCAGAUGAUUGCCUGCUUUGGUUCAAAGCCAUCUAAGCCCAAUUAACUUCAGAUAAAAAGGAGCACUCCAUGUGAUCCAGCACAGAAAAAGAUACUGAGAAACUAUGGUGGAACCAAGAGCCAGCUUGUGGCCCCCAGAAUCAGCCAUUCCCCUGGAACCAGUUAGUGCCUUAGAAGGAGGGUAAGAAGUCCCCUGGAACCAGUUAGUGCCUUAGAAGGAUUCCCACUGGAGCCGGUGGAUUCUGUUUCCCUGCAGCAUUGAUAGUGGACAUGGCCGUGUGGUUGCUCUGACCAACGGGAAGAAGGCAGGCAGAAGAGACUGCGGUAGGUGCAAGCCCAGUGCUUAAAAGGCAUUGCAUAUCCACUCACUCCCCGGGUACUGCCAUUCACCAGGAAAAUCACCCAUCCCAGGGAUUUCUGGUCCAGCAGAAUGCAAGACACAUGGAGCUGACCUGAGCUAGACCCACACAGCCUGAAGCAGAGCUGCCCCAGAUGACCUGCACAUCUGCGAGUGAGAUAAAUGAAAGUUUGUUGUAAGCCACUGAGAUUCUGAGGUUGUUUGCUGUGCAGCAAAAACGAACACACUCUCCUUUUUGAAAACGGGACAUAACUAGUCCAUCUACAGCCUUUCAGCACUUCCAGUGCUCUUCAUGAAUUCUUAAAGAUUACACAUAGUAUAUGCAUUCAAUGGAAUAUUAUCCAUCCUUAAAAAGAAAGGAAAUUCUUUUUGCUAGUAGCCAUCCU